rnacentral:rRNA from 1 species
CAGAGGUCCCAAGCGUUGUUCGGGUUCACUGGGCGUAAAGGGUGCGUAGGUGGUUGGGCAAGUCUGAUGUGAAAUCUCCGGGCUCAACCCGGAAAUGGCAUUGGAUACUACCUGACUCGAGGAUUGGAGGGGGGACUGGAAUACUUGGUGUAGCAGUGAAAUGCGUAGAUAUCAGGAGGAACACCAACGGCGAAGGCAGCUAGCUGGACGAGAUCCGACGCUCAGGCUCGAAAGUAUGGGGAGCAAAAAGGAUUAGAUACCCUUGUAGUCCAUACUGUAAACGUUGUUGAUUAGGUCUUGGAGCAUUCGAACGCUCCAGGGCUCAAGCUAACGCAAUAAAUCAACCGCCUGAGGACUACGGCCGCAAGGCUA